CUGAAAUUAGACAGGCACCCUCCUUAGUGAACUGCAAGCACAUGAGUAAGACUUUCUUGUUCCAGCAGGCAUUUGAAGGGACCUUCAGCAAAUGAAAACUCUGCUGAAGUUUAUCCACAGCCACCACCACCAUCAGCUCUGUGGAAAAUGGCAGCGAUAGGAAGCAUUCAAAUGCAGAAGUAUCUUUAUCUGCAUUGUUAACAGAGCCUAUGCAUGACCAUCAAUUAGAAGCAGGUGGGGCUGAGCAAGCUGAAGGAUCAGGGCCGCCCCUUAAGAACAUAGAUCUUGUUGUUGAGCAUCAGAGGACUGAUGAUGCAGGUGAUGACAGGAGUGAGCAAGCUGUAGGAUCAGGACCUCGCCUUAAGAAAAAAAAACCAAAAUGAAACAUAUUGAGGAACAUCAGGCCUAUGAUGAUGUAGUGUACAUCACUGGCAAGUCCUUCUCUAUCCCCUAAAGUUACAAGUGGUGAUGGCACUAGCAUGGAUGAGAAUAAAAAGUGUGAUGAAGCAGCGAUACAGGAGGUUCCUGGUCCAGUGCCCAAGAGGCCAAGGUAUGACGACCCUCAACAGGCAUCCCAAGAGAUUGAACAAGAUUUACACAAUCGUGUUGAGCAGCACAGACUGAUAUUGAAUGCAUACAAGGCUAUAGAGAAUAUGAUUAAAAAAAGCCUUUGCAGGGGAAACUGUGAAAUGUUUUAAGGCUAGGCCCAAGAACAUAAAAAAGAAGCAUGGUAAGAAACACAACAAGACAGAUGAAAAGGAGAAUGCUGAGAAUGAGUGGCCCCCUGCAGGGAAAUCAUGGGAAUUUAAAGGCCCCUCCACAUCAGAGGAAAGCUGCAUCAGAUGAGCUCAUAGAGACGAUUUGUGAGAUAGCUCUGAACACUUUAAAAGGCAAUGUUCCCCUGACUCCCCAGCAGGUUGUCAAAAACUCCAUACACUAUCAUGUUGACAGUGACCGGAAGAGCUCUUGCAAAUCGAACUUCUGCUCUCAGAUUCCCUGUUUUGAUAAAAGAAUAGUGCUCCCCGCAUUCCUGGUCUGGAGACAGGUCAAAAGCAAAAAGAGUGUAGCCUCUUGCGAACUCCUCACAGUUAAUUAACAGAGCCCUAUCUUUCAUGUGUUUGCCGGAUGUCUGCACCAGACUCAUCUAUUCUCGAACGCAGUUUCUUGUUUCAAAUUCAGGCUGAAGAGGUUUUGUGGGGAUUUGGAAACCGUCGCCAUACAGAGAUACAAAACUGAUGUCAUAAUGCUUAAAGUUAAAGGGGUUUUUAUUGUAAACCCCGCUGAAGGAAUCGUUAUCGACCAGCCCUAUAACCACUUGCUUUGGUAGCUGACCCAAAAAUAGAUUCUCCUGCUUGCUGACGCGGCUUCCUCAGGGGAUACUAAACGCUAUCAUGCAGACAAAAUCCAUAGGGUAUUUGGUGUUGGAUGUCAACAAUGCUUCUGCAUGUCCUAACCGGACACCUGGUGCCACGCUCACCUUCUUUACAGAAAGUGAGGCUGGCACAAUUUGUAAUUAGUAUCAGCUGUUUGUAUCAUCAGCCAUCAAACAGAAAGUGUCUUUGUUGAGUGUCAAUUUAAUUUUCACAUCCACUCCAUUCAGCAUCAAUUUUUCUUGAAAAAACAGAUCAGCAUGGAGAUGACCGAGGAGGUCUAUUUUUGGCUUUCAACUGUCAGAGUGGCCCUUCUAACAAAGCCUAAAUUUCCCCAUCCAGGGUUGCCACCUCACAUUGUCUGGCUGUUUAUUUGUCAAAUAACCCUGCAGAAAAUUGUGUGGCUAUGGUGUCUUUGCCGUAAUUCAGCACAAAUUCUAUGAAGGCUCUAUAAGGGUAGCAGUUGUUGCUCUGACUGAUGAGUCGGUCUCCCAGAGUCACAUCCAAUUGGCUAAAGAUGGAUACCAACGGAUAAUUCACCAGACCCACAUUAGCUCCUCUGGCCAGGUUUGUUCCAUCCUGAUUCACAAUUUUGCAACUCAUGUACAGCAAUGUAUUGUUUAAGUCCAUAUAAUCUUUGCCAUUUCCUGCAAUGUAGAAUUCUAGCCGUGCAGUGUCCAUCAGCACUGCCAAGGGUGGCACUUCGAUAAACAGGCUUCUCUCAAUACAGGUCUGCGUAGGUCCAAUCUGGAAUAGAUCUAAUUCAGAUUUAACGCAUUCCUCAGAACUGCUAUGGAUGAAAGCCAUGAUGGUUUAAAAUAUAUCUUCUUUUUGAGCUGGUGCUGUACGCCUCUUCUUUCUUAUGGCUUUCUGCUUCUGAGGUUUUUUUCUCAUCAGUGAUGUUCUUUUAAAAGUUCUGGGCAGGCCUGUUAGUUGCACCCAUGAUACUUUUCUUUUUGGGGCUUUUCUCCUUUUAAUAUACAUCAGCCCUGAUCCCUCUUGUGGAUUAACUCUUUUCAAAACUGCCUGAGUAACCUGUCCAUUCACAUCGUUAGCAAUAUUUCAAACAGCUGUCUUAGCGUAUGGUUUAAGAAUCUCUAGGCCUCUUCUCAAAAGCAGCAUGGCUUUUCAAAAAAGGCUCCUGAAUAUUCCCCCUAUUCCUGCCCCAUACAUAACUGGGGCACCAUGGUAAUUCGGAAGAGCAUUUCCUGCCUGGGCCCUGUAAUAAUUCCGGUAAAGUGUUGGGUAUCCAUAAGUUUGGGUCACUAUGGACUAUGGACUAUGACCUGGGAGACCAGGGUUCAAAUCCCCACACAGCCAUGAAGCUGACUGGGUGACCUUGGGCCAGUCACUGGCUCUCAGCCUCAGAGGAAGGCUAUGGUGAAACUACCUCUGAAUACUGUUUACCAUGAAAACCCUAUUCAAAGGGUCGCCAUAGGUGGUGAUUGACUUGAAGGCAGUCAAAGACCACUUGGACAUGGUCCCCACAGCCAACUCUGGUGAGGAUUUAAACGAGGGAUAGAGCUGAGUGUCAUCUGCAUACUGGUGACACUGCAGCCCAAAUCUCCUAAUGAUAGUCCCCAGCGGCUUCAUAUAGAUAUUAAAUAGCAUGGGAGAUAGGAUAGAGCCCUGUGGCACACCACAAUUGAGAGGCCAAGGGUCCGAAACCUCCUCCCCCAAUGCUACUUGUUGAUGCCUAUCAGAGAGAAAGGAGCAGAACCACUGCAGUACAGUGCCUCCUAUUCCCAGUCCCUCCAGGCGAUGUAAAAGGAUACUGUGGUCGACAGUAUCAAAAGCUGCUGAGAGAUCGAGGACAAGAAAGGUGAAUUCUCCCCUAUGUAAUGCCCUCCGCAUAUCAUCCACCAGAGCGAACAAGGCUGUUUCAGUUCCAUGUCCAGUCCUGAAACCCGAUUGGUAUGGAUCCAAAUAAUCCCUUUCAUCCAAGUGUGCUGACAGCUGAUUAGCCACCACUCGCUCAAUGACCUUAUAUACCAUAAGGGAAAAGCUUGACACAGUGAUGUAUGUAAUUACCACAGACCAAUUAAACAAAAACAAAGUAGUUCAUGUAAAUAUGUUGAAACCUUACCAUACCAGGGAUGCAAAGGUGUUGCAAGUUACCUUAUUCCCUGAGGGAAGUGGGCCUGAACGUCCAGAUUUGGUACAGGAAAGCAAAGACAAAGGAGGGGUAGAUCAAGUGGAAUGGUCGGAGGAGGGGAAAGAAGAAGUAAAGGAAGAGAUUCUGAGAGUUUUGAAAAACUAUGGAGAUCUCUUUAGUAAUAAACCUGGCCGAACCAGUAUAGCCAGACAUUCCAUUGAUACUGGAAAUCAUGCCCCAAUCAGAUCUGUUCCGUACCAUGUGAAUGGGAAAGUUUUGAGUGAAAUUAAAAAGGAGGUGGAAGAUAUGCUGGAACUAGGAGUGAUCAGGGAAUCCAUCAGUCCCUGGGCCUCAAGUAUUGUCCUGGUUCCAAAAAAAGAUGGAACUACAAGAUUUUGUAUUGAUUAUCGAUUAAUCAAUAAAAUUACUGUCCCAGAUGUGUAUCCUAUGCCUAGGGUGGAAGCAAUGUUAGAGUUAUUGGGGGCAGCAACCAUUAUCUCUACGAUAGACCUCUGUAAAGGAUUUUGGCAGAUGGAACUAGACGAGCAAUCCAGAGCCAAAACUGCCUUCAGUACACCAGAUGGGUUAUAUGAGUUUGUGACUUUACCCAUGGGACUAAGGAACUCACCAAGUUCGUUUCAGAGGCUAAUUAAUACUGUGUUGUGAGGCAUGUCAGAUUUUGCAGUGACCUAUAUCGAUGACGUGGCCAUUUUUAGCAAGUCGGUGCCUGAGCAUGUCCAACACUUGACGGCAGUAUUAGAGGCAUUAAGAAAAGCAGGGCUAACAAUAAAAACUAAGAAAUGCCAGUUUGGAUUGAAUGAGGUCAUCUAUUUAGGACAUAAGGUGGGGAGUGGGAAAAUAACCCCCUUAUGGAGUAAAGUUGAGGCAAUACAAUCAUGGCCUAUCCGCUUAACAAAGAAACAAGUUAGGGCAUUUUUAGGUGUGGUUGGAUUCUACCGAAAGUUUGUGAAAAAUUUUGGGGAAAUAGCGACCCCCUUGCAUGAGCUGACAAAGAAAAACUGUGCUGAAUGUGUGGUAUGGACGGAUGAAUGUCAAAAGGCUUUUGAUCUGCUGAAGCAAGCCUUGUGCCAAGGACCUAUAUUAAUAGCACCAGACUAUGAGCAACCAUUCAUCGUGGCUACAGAUGCAUCGGACCUCGCAAUGGGAGUCGUCUUGCUGCAGGAGAGAGGAGGCACCAGACAUCCAGUGGCGUAUCUUAGUCGCAAGCUAACAUCAAGGGAGAAGAAUUAUUCAUCGGUCCAAAAGGAGUGCCUAGCGGUCGUGUGGGGACUGAGCAAGUUGCGCCCAUAUGUGUGGGGAUGAAUAUUUACGGUGACGACGGAUCAUUGGGCCUUGUUAUGGUUACAGACUAUGAAAAACCAUAACACUAUGCUGCAGAGGUGGUCCUGGGCUCUACAAGACUAUCAGGUGGACUUCAAGUUCAUCAAAGGCAAGGACAAUGUAUUGGCCGAUGGACUUUCAAGGCAAGUGGCUGGGACUGCAGUGACGUGACGCAGACGUAGGAACAAAAAAGACAUUUUCCCCAUAAAGACUUGGUUUUAUUGUUAACGCGGCGUAUGAAUCCUAGAGCAGGAAUAAUACUCUGCCGUUAUUUUUAAGGGGGGGGAAAUGUGAUGUUCCUGUAUUAAUGUAUAUAUGGUAAGUGCUGUUUGUAUAGAAGAUAUGUGGUAAGUGGAAUGAAAGAGGAGGGGGGAGUAAAUGAGCAGUAGAAUGCUGGAUGAUUGGCUGAGUGUUUGGAUGGCUGAGAGUAUAAAUGGAAGGAUGACAGUUGAAUUGGGGUGGACGUGAGUGGGUUGUUUGAGAGGUGAGUGGGUUGUUUUGGUGGAGUUUGGAGGUGGGUGUGAGUUGGUGUAUGUCAGGAGAGUGUGGAGAAAGAGGGAGGUGGAGUUCGGAUUAGUAAUAAGUCAAAUAUCACAGUAAUAGAUGAAACCAUAAGCUUGUAGAUCAUUAUCAAAGUUAUCUUGUUAUUAAUGUUAUUUAAUAAAUACUAUUUGGGUUUA